GAUGAACGCUGGCGGCGUGCCUAAUACAUGCAAGUCGAGCGAAUGGAUUAAGAGCUUGCUCUUAUGAAGUUAGCGGCGGACGGGUGAGUAGCACGUGGGUAACCUGCCCAUAAGACUGGGAUAACUCCGGGAAACCGGGGCUAAUACCGGAUAACAUUUUGAACCGCAUGGUUCGAAAUUGAAAGGCGGCUUCGGCUGUCACUUAUGGCUGGACCCGCGUCGCAUUAGCUAGUUGGUGAGGUAACGGCUCACCAAGGCAACGAUGCGUAGCCGACCUGAGAGGGUGAUCGGCCACACUGGGACUGAGACACGGCCCAGACUCCUACGGGAGGCAGCAGUAGGGAAUCUUCUGCAAUGGACGAAAGUCUGACGGAGCAACGCCGCGUGAGUGAUGAAGGCUUUCGGGUCGUAAAACUCUGUUGUUAGGGAAGAACAAGUGCUAGUUGAAUAAGCUGGCACCUUGACGGUACCUAACCAGAAAGCCACGGCUAACUACGUGCCAGCCGCCGCGGUAA
rnacentral:rRNA from 1 species